CUGAAACAUACACGUUUAACCUUUCACUGGGAGCCACCUAAAUUCAUUACAGUAAUCUAAAUAAAAAUAUGGUCAUGAAGGAUGGGUCAUGACCGAAAGAACGAGAUCGCGGAUACUAACGGCCGAGAUGGGUUUUCUUCGCAGUGUGGCGGGCGUCUCCCUUAGGGAUAAUGUUGAACCGCUCCUCCUUCGCAUCGAAAGGAGCCAGUUGAGGUGGUUUGGGCACCAAGGAUGCCGAAGCUAGGAAGAGACAGAGGGGUAUAGACCUAGGACCAGGUGGUGGGAUUAUAUCUCUUCGCUGGCCUGGGAGCGCCUUGGGAUCCCCCAGUCAGAGCUGGUUGAUGUGGCCAGGGAAAGGAACGUUUGGGGCUCUCUGCUGGAACUGCUACCUCCGCGACCCGACCACGGAUAAGCGUGUAAAGGCUAUCUUGUUGUUCCCAAAAAUGGGACGUGGCUGGCCUGCACUCUCCUGGCUGCAGACGAGGCACACCUGUUCCCAAUCACCUCAUCAACCUGCUCCAUAAAAGCCCAGUCCUCACUCCACUUCUCUUCCAGAUGAUUCCAUGUAUUUGGAUGAACCAGAGUGCUGGUCUGCAGCCUAGAGCCUUGAUUCCCAGAUCUCCAGUGUUUUGUGCGAACUCUAGUGGUUUCCUUGGACAAAUCUCUGCUUCCUAGCUGCCUGCCUUUUUCAAUAAACACCUUGAAAACUU